CGGAUCAGCUUCCAUCCAGAGUCCCUGAAGAAACUCAGAAACCCAACGCACCUCUCUAGAAUGGCUCUGAAGAACUACUACCAGGAUAGCCAGUCCCGAGCCCUUGCCUCCUGCCUAAGAAGUACCUACUCUCUGCAAAUGAGAGUGGAAUCAGGCGGCUCAGAAUCCUGCCUCCCACCUGGGGGAGCUCUGAGAACCAAAUGAGGCAAUCCAUGGAUGCAGGCUGGACUUGAUCUGAACAAAUCUGUCCCUGGAUACAUUCAGUCAACAAAAAGGUCUGGGGAGAUCCCUAAAGCUUUAGAAAUGGUUACCUGAAAGACAACCAUAAAAAGAGCCCUGAAAGACAUCUGUAA